UACGUAGGGGGCAAGCGUUGUCCGGAAUCAUUGGGCGUAAAGAGCGCGUAGGCGGCCCUGUAAGUCCGCUGUAAAAGUCAAGGGCUCAACCCUGGGAUGCCGGUGGAUACUGUCGGGCUCGAGUCCGGAAGAGGAGUGUGGAAUUCCUGGUGUAGCGGUGAAAUGCGCAGAUAUCAGGAGGAACACCUAUUGCGAAGGCAGCUCGCUGGGACGUAACUGACGCUGAGACGCGAAAGCGUGGGGAGCAAACAGG
rnacentral:rRNA from 1 species